UACGGAGGAUCCAAGCGUUAUCCGGAAUCAUUGGGUUUAAAGGGUCCGUAGGCGGGAUAAUAAGUCAGUGGUGAAAGUCUGCAGCUUAACUGUAGAACUGCCAUUGAUACUGGCUAUCUUGAAUCAAUGUGAAGUGGUUAGAAUAUGUAGUGUAGCGGUGAAAUGCAUAGAUAUUACAUAGAAUACCGAUUGCGAAGGCAGAUCACUAAUAAUUUACUGACGCUGAUGGACGAAAGCGUAGGUAGCGAACAGG
rnacentral:misc_RNA from 1 species